rnacentral:sRNA from 1 species
AAAUUUAAAUCACCGGCUAGCGGUUUCCUGUCCCCGCUUCCCGCCUCCCUUUCCCCCCCUCAGCCUCCUCCCGUCUGGCUGGCGCCGGAUCCGCGAGCAGCAGUGUCCACCUCACUUAGUUGGCCGAGGCGGUAUCCAGAUUCCGGGAGUCUCGCUCCUUGGCAUAGUGGUCGCUUAACUCCAGCGCCUUCCCCAGUGCCUCCCAAACCUCUCGUCCUCCUGCUGGGGCUGUUCUAGGAGGAGCCUAAAUGUCCGCUUCCCCAGCUGAGGGGGAUUGUGGUGGACGGGCAGCGCUUCGGCCAGAACCGCACCAUCAAGCUGCUCACCGGCUCCUCCUACAAGGUUGAGGUGAAGAUUAAGCCCAGCACGCUGCAGGUCGAGAAUAUUUCCAUUGGCGGUGUGCUUGUCCCACUGGAACUGAAGUCUAAAGAGCCUGAUGGGGACAGAGUUGUUUAUACGGGUACAUAUGACACAGAAGGUGUGACCCCAACCAAGAGUGGAGAACGGCAACCCAUCCAGAUCACCAUGCCGUUCACAGACAUUGGGACCUUCGAGACGGUGUGGCAAGUCAAGUUCUACAAUUACCACAAGCGGGAUCACUGCCAGUGGGGAAGCCCCUUCUCCGUCAUUGAGUAUGAAUGCAAGCCCAAUGAGACUCGCAGUCUGAUGUGGGUGAACAAGGAGUCCUUCCUCUGAAAGUGGCUCUUUCUGAUGCUGCUGGACAAUCUUUUCAGAAAUCUACUUUUAGAUAAACCAGCGCAGGCCUUAAACAAGGCACGCCACACCAUUGCUGUUCCCCAUCUGGUACUAAUGACCUACUAGCCCUGGUUAUUUUGAAAGUGUAAUUCCCCUCUGACACAAUAUCCCUCACAUACAAGAUGGUGAUAUACCACCCCUGAGAAUAUUCCCAUCUGUAUUUUGUGCUGAUGUUCCUGCAUCCAGUUGUUCUCGGUCAUACUUUUGACCACUCGUGACUGGAGUUCAGUGGCACUGGCAGGCUUGUCCUGCUCUUGACCAUUCCACUGACUAACUAUGGUGUGUUGUUUCCAAGUUAAGUGAUUCCUCCCUUUUUUUUGUUCAAUGUUAAAUUCAAAAAUAACAAUGUGUAUGGGUCCUCCCAUGUGUAAUAUGGUAACAUGUAACUUGCAGUGUUUGCCAGCUUUCAAAGCAGGCUUUGUGAAAAUGUAAUACAAAUAGCAGUGAAUGGGACUCAAAUGUUGUGCUUCCUAUAAACAGCUCCGCUCUUUCAGGGAAGGAUGAUAACAAACUAGAAGGACAAAUAUGUACGUAUUUAUAACGUAUUAAAACUCUUUUAAGUAGCUUAAGGUAUUGUGCAAUGGCCUAGCCUAGUAGAAAUGGGGGAAAAGCAUUGCUGUGGACCAUUUUUAAAGUGACAGGAGUUGUAGGGUUAUCCCUUUGACAAGCUUCCAUAGUCUUCAGACAUGCACAUUGAUGGCAUCCCUACAGUCUUCUUCACUUGACUUUGUAAAAC